GGGAGGUUGGAACCAAAAAAACAAGAAAGCCAGCCAAGUGGAGAGAAGUACAUUUUCUACAGAUUGGAAGAAAAAGUUGGCACCAAUUCUUGUGUCCAUGGCCUUUUACUUCUGGCCUAGAGCUGGCAUUUAAUUUGAAUUUUACUAGCACACAAAAUCAAAUGCAGCAACCUGAUUUUCCCAAUUCAGGGUAUUUAAUUUAAAAAAGCUUACAAGUUGAAUAAGUGGCUUUUCAAAAUAUGGCAGAGCUUCUUCUCAUCAAGAUUAGUGAGAGACUGAGCCAAUCUACUAUCCCCACAGAAGAUUUUUGCUGCCAUGGCCACCGGAACCAUAGCAAUGUACAGAAAUGUCCAAUUAUUUGGGCAGAGGGCAGUCAAGCCUAUGCUGAAUUGUAGACACUGCUGUGUUCCUGCACCUGUUUCAGUUAUCAGAGUCUCCUAA
rnacentral:lncRNA from 1 species